rnacentral:lncRNA from 1 species
AAUUUUCAGGUUUUCACUUUCAUUCUUAGCACAAAUAUAAGAAAAAUGCGAAUUUCUCAAAGGAGAUGACAAUGGUGCCGAGAAAUCCGUGAGAUGGUUGUACGGGCUAGUGAAGAAUAGACCGUGUUAUUUCCUUCGAGUAAGUCUGAUAUCUACAGGUAAUGGUGAAUGGAUUUAAUAGCUAUUUUUAACAUAUAUUUAAUAUUUAAAUUCUAGUUUUGUGCUUGGAUAAAUUUAUGCCCAUUUUAAUUGCACUCAAUUUAGUUCCUAAUUUGCGAAAUAGCUUAAUAUAUUUUGGAUGAAAUUGUUAUUGCUGAGAACUUCGAGAAAUGUGUUCUUGCUGAUUUGUUCAUUCCUAGGCUGCAAAUGGACUGCAAAAUGCCAAGACCCAGAACCUAUACGAUAUUAUAUUACAACCAAUAUUGUGUUUUGUAUGAAAGAGAUGUUGUGGUAAUAUGUAUAUGCAGAGUACUAAAUAUAUUUUAUAAUUGGUUGCGCAUAUUAAUUGGUCCACUCUUGGCCGAAUUACCUUUUUGUAGGACUCAAGAGCUCAGGUGACUACCAUAUGUCGAAUAAUAGGAACAAUGCCGAAGAUCCAAGCCUUCGUGAUAUAUUGAGAAUGUAGAUGAAUGGAAAUAGAAGGCCACUGGGGUAAAUUAUUGUUCACCUAUAUAGUCACAAUAUUAUAAUUACACGUUCAUCUUAAAUAAAAUUGGAUAAAGCUGUAUUGAGUUUAUGUAUAAUUUUAUAUGCAGCAAAUGAUUUUUAGUACAUAAAAAUAAAAUUUGUUUGUCGCAUGUUUAUUUUUCCUAAUUAUGUCUUUAGUUUUGUACAGAGUUGUUGAAUAAAUCGGAGAAUAAACACAGAGUUGUAAGACUUGAAAGUGCACAAGUGCAAAUUUCAUGUUCUGUUAACAUUUUAACCACUGAAAUCUAACUUAAUCGUUUGGUUUAAUUUGCAGGUUGAAAUUGUUGUUCUGUGUCAUGGCUAGCUUGCAUCUAAAUGUGUUAAGAAGAUAAUAGAGGUAUCUUCUUAACACUUCAAUUUAUUUAUAUUUUGUUUGUUGUUAUUGGGAACUCAGUGCAUAUUUUUGUUUAUGCAUUCUCUUUCCUAUUUGAUAAACGGAUUUGUAUAAGUUUGAAAGGAAAGUGAGAGCAAAAACAAAAUUUCUUCUUCAACUUUUAGAAAUAAUAUUCAUCUUUGCGAAGUCAUUCAUCUUUGCAUUGUUUAGAUGACAAAGUCUUAAACACAAGUUGAAUGAGAAGGAAAUGAAGUUGCAAGAAUGAUAAAGGACGAAAAAGAAGACGACGAUGAUGGAGAUAGAGACUCUAUUGAUUACGAAGGAAAUGAAGAUGCUUUAUAGGAUAUGACUGAAAUUUUUGAUUUCAACUAUGUCGAUACUUUCGAACUUUUGCU